GAAACAGUGGCUAAGACUGGAUAGGAAGAUAAAAGGCAUCUUGUAUCUUUUAAAAGACCUAGUUAAUAGGUAUGCUUUAGGAGGGGCUUGCGCCAUAUUAGUUAGUUGGUAGGGUAAUGGCCUACCAAGACGAUGAUGUGUAGCUGGACUGAGAGGUGAACAGCCACAUUGGGACUGAGACACGGCCCAAACUCCUACGGGAGGCAGCAGUAGGGAAUUUUCGGCAAUGGAGGAAACUCUGACCGAGCAACGCCGCGUGAAUGACGAAGUACUUCGGUAUGUAAAGUUCUUUUAUCGAGGAAGAAAAGCAAAUGGCGAACCAUUUGUUUGCCGGUACUUGAUGAAUAAGCCCCGGCUAAUUAUGUGCCAGCAGCCGCGGUAAGACAUAAGGGGCAAGUGUUAUCCGGAAUUAUUGGGCGUAAAGGGUGCGUAGGCGGUCUAGUAAGUCAGUGGUGUAAUGUCAACGCUUAACGUUGUCCGGCUAUUGAAACUGCUAAACUUGAGUUAGAUAGAGGCGAGUGGAAUUCCAUGUGUAGCGGUAAAAUGCGUAAAUAUAUGGAGGAACACCAGAGGCGUAGGCGGCUCGCUGGGUCUUAACUGACGCUGAGGCACGAAAGCGUGGGGAGCAAACAGGAUUAGAUACCCUGGUAGUCCACGCCGUAAACGAUGAGUACUAAGUGUCGGGUUAAACCGGUACUGAAGUUAACACAUUAAGUACUCCGCCUGAGUAGUACGUACGCAAGUAUGAAACUUAAAGGAAUUGACGGGACUCCGCACAAGCGGUGGAUCAUGUUGUUUAAUUCGAAGAUACCCGAAAAACCUUACCAGGUCUUGACAUGUUUUUGCAAAAUGAUAGUAAUAUCGUGGAGGUUACCAGAAACACAGGUGGUGCAUGGUUGUCGUCAGCUCGUGUCGUGAGAUGUUAGGUUAAGUCCUAAAACGAGCGAAACCCUUAUCGUUAGUUGCCAGCACGUUAUGGUGGGGACUUUAACGAGACUGCCAAUGAUAAAUUGGAGGAAGGUGAGGAUCACGUCAAAUCAGCAUGCCCCUUAUGACCUGGGCUACAAACGUGAUACAAUGGCUGUUACAAAGGGUAGCUGAAACGCAAGUUCUUGGCCAAUCCCCAAAAACAGUCCCAGUCCGGAUUGAAGUCUGCAACUCGACUUCAUGAAGUUGGAAUCGCUAGUAAUCGCGAAUCAGCAUGUCGCGGUGAAUACGUUCUCGGGGUUUGUACACACCGCCCGUCA
rnacentral:rRNA from 1 species